GAGGGUAUAAAUCAGUGGUAGAGUGCAUGCUUAGCAUGCAUGAGGUCCUGGGGUUCAACCCCCAGUAACUCCA
rnacentral:tRNA from 1 species